UUAACUUGGUGUGGAUUUUGC
rnacentral:siRNA from 1 species